rnacentral:rRNA from 1 species
GACGAACGCUGGCGGCGUGCUUAACACAUGCAAGUCGAACGGAAAGGCCCUGCUUUUGUGGGGUGCUCGAGUGGCGAACGGGUGAGUAACACGUGAGUAACCUGCCCUUGACUUUGGGAUAACUUCAGGAAACUGGGGCUAAUACCGGAUAGGAGCUCCUGCUGCAUGGUGGGGGUUGGAAAGUUUCGGCGGUUGGGGAUGGACUCGCGGCUUAUCAGCUUGUUGGUGGGGUAGUGGCUUACCAAGGCUUUGACGGGUAGCCGGCCUGAGAGGGUGAUCGGCCACACGGGAACUGAGACACGGUGCAGAGUCCUAAGGGAGGCAGCAGGAGGGGAUCGUCCGCAAUGGGCGAAAGCCGGACGGAGCAACGCCGCGUGAGUGAUGAAGGUCUUCGGAUCGGAAAACUCGGUUAUUAGGGAAGAACAAAUGUGUAAGUAACUAUGCACGUCUUGACGGUACCUAAUCAGAAAGCCACGGCUAACUACGUG